UACGUAGGCAGCGAGCGUUGUUCGGAAUUACUGGGCGUAAAGAGUGUGUAGGCGGUGCUCCCAGUCUGUUGUGAAAUCUCCCGGCUUAACUGGGAGGGUGCAGCGGAAACUAGAGUGCUAGAGGGUGGGAGAGGUAAGCGGAAUUCCUGGUGUAGCGGUGAAAUGCGUAGAUAUCGUGAGGAACACCAGAGGCGAAGGCGGUUACCUGGACAGUUACUGACGCUCAGGCACGAAAGCGUGGGGAGCAAAAGGG
rnacentral:rRNA from 1 species